rnacentral:tRNA from 1 species
UGCGGGAUCGUCUAAUGGUAGGACACGAGACUUUGGAUCUCGGUAUCAUGGUUCGAAUCCAUGUCCCGCAGCAA